AUACGGAGGCUGCGAGCGUUAUCCGGAUUUAUUGGGUUUAAAGGGAGCGUAGGCGGGAGCUUAAGUCAGCGGUUAAAUGGUGCGGCUCAACCGUGCCCUGCCGUUGAAACUGGGUUUCUUGAGAGUGCAAGAGGCGGAUGGAAUUCAUGGGGAUGCGGUGCAAUGCUUAGAUAUCAUGAAGAACUCCGAUUGCGAAGGCAGUCCGCUGGGGCACGUCUGACGCUGAUGCUCGAAGGUGCGGGAAUCAAACAGGAUUAGAUACCCUGGUAGUCCGCACGGUAAACGAUGAUUACCCGCUGUCGGCGGCAGACAGUCGGCGGCCAAGCGAAAGCGAUAAGUAAUCCACCUGGGGAGUACGCCGGCAACGGUGAAACUCAAAUGAAUUGACGGGG
rnacentral:rRNA from 1 species